CCUCCUAUUAAACUGCAUAAUUUGCAUCUCUUUCUCUCUACAUACCCCUCAAUCGUAAGCAGCUCUCAUACUUCCAAUUCCAAACAAAUACAAACUUCCUCACUGUGGCAACUAACCGGAAGACGACAACUCAUGAAGUUAGUUAUGAAGAAGUUCCAAUUGUUUUUAAUACUCCAGAACAGACAACAGAAACAAAUGCUUCCAUUCGAAAGAAUGGGCAAGUGGGUCAACAAUACUUUGUGAAAGAAGAAGGGUUGGUAGCUUUAUCAAUCGUGCUAAGAUCAAGAUCAGAACGGCGUCAAACGUUGGUGGUGGAAGGAGUGGCUCCAUCAAAUGAAUGCUGGCUUCAACAUGAGUUGAUGAAAGUGUUUGAUAUGCCAUGUAAUUGUGUUUUUAUGGCAUGGAUGUGUGCAUAGAAGCUUUUUUAUUUUGUGUUGGUUUGGUUGCAUCGUGAAAUAAACUAGUUUUCUUGUUUAUAUAUGGCUUUAUGUUGAACCGAAUUGGGGUUGUAGCUUUCAGGGUAUACUUUCAACAGAUGAAUCUGAGGAUGCUUUAUCGAAUUCAGUUCUUUCUGAUGUGUCUCAUUCUGUCUGUACCCUUGCCCUUUCUUUGAGUUGGUUCACUGUCACUCCAUCCGUAAAAGGUCGAUAGACACUUCAUUUUUUACGAGAUAGGUCUUAUUUUAACCAUAUCAUUAUGUAUAUUAUUUUUAUAUAUAUUUCGUUUGGUGUAGCUUUACUUUUAAUUAUGAAAUGUGGUAAUGAGCAAUUGCAACUUUGGUGAGUUGGUAGCCAGGCUUGUCCACCAUACCUCGCUUUUUAUUUUUUCUAUUUUUAAGGGAAAAAGAGAGAGUUAAAUAUAGAAGUUUGGGUGACAAUCUGUGAAUCCACACUCAUCAAGGUGAGAUAUCCCCAUAUGAUCAUGUUUGUUUGGGACAUGGUAUCCCCAUAUGAUGGACUAUUGAGGAUUUUAUCAAUCCCUUAUAAUCCUGGAUUACUUGACUACAAAAUUGAGGAUUUUAUCAAUCACUCGUAAUUCUAGACCAAUCCAAACACAGGAUAUGAUACACAAUCUAAAAUCUGUAGAACUAACAAUCCUAUGAAUACUAAUCCCAUCUAAUUCAGUUUACCUAACCAUAUCUCAUCUAAUUCAGUAUACCUAAACAAACAUAUGCCUCUAUGGUAUUGCUAAUCUCAUUCCAUGUAGUGCAAGCCAUACCUCCCUCUUUUAUUCUUAAAUCGAAUGUGACUUUCAUGUUGAUGUAUGUAUUUGUUCUAAGUGAUCCACAUAUAAAGAGUGGUGCACCUAUAUAUUGUUUGUGUUCCACCAGUGUGAUCCUUGCAAGUCUCUAACAUUCUUCCAAGAAAAAGUAAGGUUUUAGAAACUCUCCAAUUAAGGUUAAAAGAAAAGUAGCAUUUAUAAAACAUUAAAUUUUUUUUAAUCACUAUAGGACUCGUAUGUCUUACCAAGAGAUCACAAGAUUGAAUGUGAUUUAAACCACUCUAGAAUCUAUGUACCUAUUAGGUGGUUACAAGUUCGAACCUCUUCUCAAUGUACAUAAAAAAAUAAAAAUAAAAAUUUUAGAAGCUAUCGAAUAAAAUAAAGAGAAACAAUUAUCUAGUGUGAGGUUGUGAUUUGAAAUUUACUUGAUGCUUCUUGAAACUGUU